rnacentral:lncRNA from 1 species
GAGCCCUCCCCGCCACUGAGCCCCUUCCACGUGGUGAGUGGCCAGCAGUGGCCUCAGUGUCAGUUUCAUCAGCCCUGUUUCGCCCAAUGUCAUUAUGAACCAGAGAAUCCCCAUGUGUAUAGUUUAAAGAGCGGCAGAGGAUAGGAUGGUUAGAUAGCAUCACUGAAUCAAUGCAAAGGAACUUGAGUAAACUCCAGGAGAUAGUGAAGGACAGGGGAGCCUGGCAUGCCACUGUCUGUGGUGUCUCAAAGAGUCAAGACACGACUGAGCACCUGAACAACAUCAAGAUAGUUUAAAGUAUGGUCCUAGCAAUCCAGAUGGUUCUG